AUGCUGCCUCCUGUGGGGGGUGGGCUCCCGUCACUGGGGCACAGGGCUGGGGGGCUCCCCUCAGAGCCAUGCCCUUGGGUGGAUCGAAAGGGCGCUCAGAAUGGCAGCUCUGCCCCGUCUGUCUCCAGGCUGAGUUUGCCCCUGAGCACCAUGCGGAAUUCUCGAGAGGGUCAGAAGAAGGAACCAGGAGUCCCCACCCUGCCCCCGAGUCCCUUCAGCCUUGGGGAGGCUUCUCCACGUGGAGAGGCCACAGCACCCGGAUCGGGGCUGAGGGCUGCCUCCUUUGGCCAGGCUGAUCCUAGCCCUUCCAGCGGGGCGGGGUCAGCGGAAGGCGCGCUGGCCCGGAGCGCUGGGCCCCUGCCUCCCCGAGGAGCCCCCCUCGGCAGAGGGAGCAGCCGGUGGGGGGGGUCCCGGGGCCCACUCCAGAGAGCUCUGAGCAGCCCCCGACCACGUGCUUGGAACGUGGGAGCCUCUCGGGUCACGUGGUUUGGCUUUGUCUUUUAAGAGGUCCCCAGCUGGUCCCUUCAAAGCCCCAUCCCCGUCCUUGGCUGGGACUGCUCAACACACCACAAAACAAAGCCUGGGGGGUAAAAACAGCGGCACUGGCGUGCGGACAAGGAGUACAAUAGAAUUAAAGGAAGCCACGUAUAGAUGCAAUCGCAUAUGGACAUUUAGCCAAAAAUAGUUUCUGCACCUGAUGGGGACAGCUAGUUUUCAGCAGAUGAUGCCGGGGAGACGGAGGCCACGAGGAACCGGUGCGGCUGGCCCUGCGCUCGGGACCCUGCCGCCAGAUGGAUCCCACGUGGCCGGGAAGCCACUCUCGUGCCUGCCGGAAACUCGGGAGACCCUCCACAGCCCAAGGGGAAGGGCGCGGGGGCUUCUCUGUAACUCAGAGCCAGUGCGCGCAGGCCGAGUCUGUGGCGAAGAGACGGCUUUGUGUGGCAACACCACCUUGCAAGCAGUAGAGAGCCCCGUGACAAACCGAGGGAAAGAUUGUGACACAUCCAAAGAGUUAAUAUCGCUAAGGAAGAAAGCGUUUCUGAAAACAGAGAAGAAAAACCCCAACCACCCCACCGCACAAGAUGAGCCAGCGAUGUGAGUGGCUGGCGGGGGUGUCCUCGGACGUGCGAGAAGAAGCUGACUCACUCGCGGUCAGAGAUGCACAGAGGCGGGCUCCACGGAGGUCCCAGCGGGCUGGCAGAAAUCCAGAGGCGUUUACAGACGCCUGCAGCUGGCGAGGCUGCGGGGAAGCCACACUGUCUUGCUGGAGGGGUGGCAGGAUCUGAGAGGAGGGGGCGUUGGCCACAUCUGCAGAGGUAGGCCUGUCUGCACCCUCGGACCCAGCAACCCCACUUCCAGGAACCCAGCUUGAUGAGAUGGGCCAAAAAAAGAAAAAGGCACAUGUGCACGCCCAAGGCUUUUUGUUCAAGCCUUUUUUUUUUUUUUUGUACUGGUGAAAACGAUGGCGCACCCAGGCCGGCCCAGAGGGGCCGAGCAAAACCCC
rnacentral:lncRNA from 1 species